rnacentral:rRNA from 1 species
CACAAUAAAGAUAUCCAUGCCACCUCAGAGUGGUAUCUCAUCUGAUCUCACAAGCUAUACACAGGAUUGAAUAUAGUUAAUACUUGGAUGGGAGACCUCCAGAGAACAUGGUGAUUUACUGGUG